GUCGUAAAAGGGGACGCGGAGGAGAAGGAAAGUCGCUCAAGCAGUGGACAGAGCGGAGAAAGCGACUUCGGGUUGGUUGAAGGUUCAGCCUGAGAAAACUCCUGAGCAUGUGCGAAAAAGAAAAGAAGAAAAGAAAAGUAAAGAAAAGAAAAAAGGAAAAAGGGCAAGCUCCUGAGUGGAUCUCUCAGGGAGCCACCAGACAGCCGCAGAGAGAAGAAGCUGCCCAAGAAUGGAAAGGAAGAAAUAUAUCACAUCAUCUGUCUGUCCACAGGCUUUCCUUGGGGCUUAUGAAGUGAAUGAAGGAGGGAAGAAAGGAGAGACAGAGAAAAUAUGGAUUUCCUCAUGGUUGUGAUUCCUCUUCACUCUUUUGAAUUUGGAAGGAUGGCAUACACAUCUGAAAAAUACCACUACUUCCUUCAUUGGACUGCAAGGUAUUUCUGUUUGGAAAAGUAAUGGAGUCCAGUCAACUUCAUUGAUCGCCAAGGACUGUCAAAAUUAUAAAACUUGCUGUGGAGCUCUGACAUGCCAGAAGCCGCUAGAAAAAGAAGUUUGACAUUCAGAAACUUAUCAAGAGGUUCUACUCUUUGGAUAGAGACCAAAAUCAUACUUUGAAUGAUAUGCAAUGCAAGACUCCCAAGAUUCUGGGCAGUGGCAGGGAGGUGCAGCUUCUAGUCUGCCGCAUGAUCACAAUGUCAGCUGGUCCCUCUUCUCAGGUGUAGAUCACCUAUUAUAAUUUUACCUAAUUUUGAUACUCUGAUAAGGAAAGUCCCAGGACUUAUCAGCUGGGAUAGGCCUCACUUACAAGACAGCUCUGUUCAGUAUUUGGAAGAAAGCCUGACAGGUUUCUUCGGAAAAGUGGCCAUCCAUGGAAUGAAUGAAAUGUUCUCUUUCUAUUCCAAUCCAACUUAGAAAUAAUGUUUCAUUCAAGAUAAGGCUCGUGGCUUAGGAGAUUGUGACCUGGCUUGCAUCAUUCUAAGACUUCUAUCGUCUGUUUUCAAAACCCAAGGAGGACCUCCUUUUCUGUGUGAUAGUUCCUCAUGCUUUGCCAGCCACUGGGUCUUUAAGGAAGCUUGCCAAGAGUUCCCGGCUGGGAAGGACAGUUCGAGUUCAUCAUAGACAAUGAGCUGGCACCACAGUUUAAGUGACUCACCAACCUGGUUGCCCACUUCAAAAUGUCAAGAACCACACUAUCUAAUUGAAAGAACUGUGUUUUAGCAAAGUGUAAUUGGAUCGCCUGGCAAGAUCAUCUCAAACUAUGUCUCUGACCUUGCCUUUCAGUGGCUAUUUUGAGCACAAGAGGAGAAAGGAAAUGAUUCCUGAAUUAUAUCUUGUUUUUAAAAAUUAAGAUUAAUUAAUACUUGGUUUUAUGUUCAUUCCAUUGUAGGAACUUAGUGAUUAUUACAAAACAGUCAAAAUAGGUCAUAGCAAAAUGAACGUUUAAGAUUAGGUUAAAACAUUCCUCUGAAAUUUUAGUAUUCACUUUUGAAGUGUCAAUUACUAUAUUUCUGUAAUUUCUCAUUUUUUUCUUGGCUUAGAGUCAAGAUGAAAAAUGAUAUUUGAAUCAAAGACAUUGUUUUGUUAUAUAGCCACUCCUUUCUAAAAUGCAAAUCCACCCUCCCCUCACCAAUGCUUUAUUCUUUGUGCGCGCACACACACACACACACACACACACACACACACACACACACAGACAUACACAGAACCAGCACCCAAAUGGUAGAGGAGGUCCUUCCAAGACUUCUAGGACCUGGAUCAUGUAAGCAGUAGAUGAGAAAAUGAAGUAAGAGAUAUAGAGUAAUAACAAUAAAAGUCAAUGAUUUCAUUUUACAAAAAAGUCAUUGUGUAGUACUCAGAUAUUUUUAAGAGCAAGUAUUAUUAUGACUAAAGUAUAUUAUACUUCUAAAUUAUUAUGAUUCUCAUCUAAUUUCAAGCCACACAUAGGCGCCAUUUGAAAGCAUUUUGUGUUACAACCUAUCAACAAAAAUCAACUAAUAGUUUUAUAACGUGCAUAGGUUUACCCCAUGGGGAAUUAAAAUUUUUAUCUGCAAGUAUUUCUGUUGUUGUGAGACUUUAGGACAAGACAACAUUUGGUGUUAACAUAGAAGAAUAUUCUAUGGCUUUUUUAGCUUUAAAGUUCAUUACUCUAAAAUAAAGUACACGUGGUAUUUUUUUCUUCCUAGUGUUCUCUUAUUAUAUGUAGAGUAUUUUCGGUUGUUGUUUUUAACGUAUACAUUAUUUUUAUUAAGUCAUUUCAUAAAAGAUAAGAUAUAUACUAAUAGACCCUUGGUUUUCUCCUAAUUUAAUUAUUUCAAGUCAAGCAAAAUUGGGCAAUUUUCUUUCAGGAAAAAAAAAAUAUUGAGCAUGAUUUUGAGGUAAAACUGAUUAUUUACAGCAUCUUUUCUCUAAUAGGCUAACAUUUAUGAUGGAUCUUAUUUCAAAGUUGAUUAUUCUCAAAGAAAAGUGGAGAUAUUAGAAUUUCCGAGUAAAUUGCAUUGUUUUAAAAAGUACUUUAAUGCAUUGUUCACAUUGUUGCCAGCUAUUGACCAAAAAAGAGAAGAAGAAAAAAGAAAUAAAAAAAGCAGUAUCUGCUCCAAACGUCAAGUUUUGCAGUUUGAAAGACUUGUACAUUAUAAUUGUUUUUUUCUUUUUUGGAAAGCAGUAGUAAUUAAUACCAAAGGCAUAGACAAUUUAGGGCCAUAACCUCCCUUCCCCCCUCUCCACCUUUUUUUUUUUUUUUUUUUUUUUUUAACUUUAACCAUGAUAGGCAUCUCUGCAAGGUAGGUUUUAACAUAUUUUUUUCCUAAUUUUUUUCCCUCCAUUCAGUAAGAAGGAUAAGCUUUUAGAGUACCCAGUCACCGUGGUAACUGCCAAAAAAAUUCUCCUGAAGUUUGAAGAGGUCAGCUAGCAGGGUCAACAACCCUGGCCUCUCUCUGAGCUCGGUCUAGCAUGCCCCAGCCUGCGGUUGGAGUGUCAGGCCAGAUCUGACCCUGGGAGGUGGACCAUUCUGGCUCUGAUAUAAAUUUUUCGAGUCAGUUCAUGGCCUGGACUCUCCAGGUGGCCUCCAAAAUCGAUUUUGACCCCCUGACCCUGUCUCACGGAGGCAUAGCAUCCACCCUAAGUAAGGAUUUAGCCAGGAAUGACAGCUUUCCACUGAGUGUUAUUGGGGACAGUAUAAACAGUUUGGAAAGCAAGUAAGGAGGUGUGAGGGCUAGCAAUCAUUAAAAGCACAUUAAAAAACAAUUUUUAAAAAUCUUUAUUAGAGAAAGUUGUAAAUGCAUAUCUGUUACAGAAUUCCUGUGAUUUGUAGAGUUUUCUAGUCAGUUUUGAAUAUAAAUAGGUCACAUAUCUUUAUCUUUUUGCAUACUUUGUUACAAAUAUGCAAAUAAGAUAGGCAUACUUGCUACAAAAUAGGUACAGCAGGAAUGUAAUAUGUUCAGAAAAGGCAAACUGGUUAUUAAAACACAUUAACAGGUAAGGAGUUUCUAAUAUUUUAAAUACUAAAAUUUUACAUGUGUAUUUUGAAGUUUUUAAAAUGGAAAAAUAAAGAACCUUUAAAAAACCCAACAGUGUGGAAUAAAGAUAAACUUGUUGCACUCAAGGUACAUUUCUACUUUGUAAAGCAAGAAGCCAAUACACUCAGUUGGAUAAAAAUGAGAGAAAAAUUGUAAAUAUAGAGAGUUACAGCUUAUAGAGCUGAAGAGGAAUAAAACAAAAAAAAGUGUCUCUGAAUAACUUUAUGUAUUUUCAACAGUUUAAGAUAUCAGAAACUUGGAAAAUAAAUAUGAUAUAUAUAUAAAUCAUCA
rnacentral:lncRNA from 1 species